UGGGGUGUCGCCAAGUGGUAAGGCAGCUGACUCUGACUCAGCCAUUCCGAGGGUUCGAAUCCUUCCACCCCAACCA
rnacentral:tRNA from 1 species